rnacentral:lncRNA from 10 species
CAAGGUUCUGCUUAUACAGUACCCAUAAGAGGCACAAGAAUAUCUUUUAAAAUAUCAGGAGGCACUUAUCUUCAAGACUGUACAUGAAGGAGUAAUCCACCUAGAAAAACCAGGCUUCAGUGGCCAGGUUCAGCAUUCCAUGUCAGUGGUGAUCAUUUUACUGAGAAGGAAGCCAUGGGAUGGGCAGGUUCUUCUAAAGGUGAAUGGCUAUACAAGCUGUGAUACAACCAAACCACAGAAUGCCACUUAGAAAUAUAAAGGAACAGACUACUGAUACAUAAAACAACUUGGAUGAACCUCAGAGCAAUUAUCCUCAGUGGAAAAAGCCAACCUACAAUGAUUACCUAGUGAAUGAUUUCAUUUACGUAACAUUCUCGAAAUGCCAAGACCAUAGAAAUGGAAAACAGAAAAAUCAAGCUUUGUCUGAAGACCAAGUUUAUUCCAAGGAGGGAUCAAUUUCCAUCUUUUU